UGAGGAAUAUUGGUCAAUGGACGGAAGUCUGAACCAGCCAUGCCGCGUGCAGGAAGAAGGUUUUAUGAAUUGUAAACUGCUUUUGUACGGGAAUAAAGUGAGCUAUGUAUAGUUUUUUGUAGGUACCGUAUGAAUAAGGAUCGGCUAACUCCGUGCCAGCAGCCGCGGUAAUACGGAGGAUCCGAGCGUUAUCCGGAUUUAUUAGGUUUAAAGGGUGCGUAGGCGGGAAGAUAAGUCAGUGGUGAAAGGCGUCAGCUUAACUGAUAGUGUGCCAUUGAUACUGUUUUUCUUGGAUAGAGUUGAGGUUGGCGGAAUGUGUAAAGUAGCGGUGAAAUGCAUAGAUAUUACACAGAACACCGAUAGCGUAGGCAGCUGACCAAGCUUAUAUUGACGCUGAGGC
rnacentral:rRNA from 1 species